GUCUAGGGUCACACCACCCUGAACGUGCCCAGUCUCUGCUGAUCUCGGAAGCUACACAGGGUCAGGCCUGGUUAGUACUUGGAUGGGAGAAUGGAAUUCGGCCACCAAAAUCC
rnacentral:rRNA from 1 species